AGCUCAGUUUGAGUUCAUGUGGAAGCCAGAAUUAAAAAUUCAGCCCACUGGAUUCAGGUGUAAAUGGAUUAAAACCAGUGGAGCAAAGACUCUACUGCUUUUGGGAGUUUUGCACAGUUCUACAAGCUAUGAGGAUACUGCUCAAGAACUUUGAGAAAAUAUGUUUUAAAUAACUGCAAAAUACUAAUAUGUCUGUUUCACCAUUAGACAUUCGUUUUUCUUCCUUUCUAUGGUCUCUGGUCUAAGCUACUCGUCAGCGACACAUGGCAAGAGGUGGGCACCUCCAGAGAGCAACCCUUCCCAUCUGAAGACAAGAUCAAAGACAGAGAAGAUGAAGUAUCCCUGGGAUUACCUUUUGACUAUGGAGAAAGCUUUUAUUCCUCGGUUGGCAAAUAGAGUUACAGUCACCCUGCCUAGCAUGAAGAUGCCACCUAUGCUGCUUGCAGGAUUGUCACUAGCAUGGAUGACCUCUCUAUUGAGAUGCCAUGGAGGAACUGCCCUACUCUGGGAAGAUGCUUCAAAGCAAUGUUCAAAGAAAAUGAGCUGUGUGCCUGGGGAAGGCUGCUAGGCUCAGUAGAAAGACUACAAAAAGAAGACGAUAUAUUUCCUUAUUUUUAUCCAUGCUAUUCUUAUUUCCCACAUCCUGACCCACCUUUUAACUACUGUGUUUAUAGCUGGAUUGAAAUUAUUUGGUUUGUUGAUUUUUUUUUUUACUUGAGGAGACAGACGUCCCUUACAUCAUACUAGACAGACUGACGCUGAGUGAGAUUUCUGCAGACUGGCCCACAGGCACCGCUGCCUUGCCUUUUUUCAGGGUGAAUGUUAGCAUGGCAUUGCUCAGUUUGACAUUGCUUGCAGUAGCAAGAAAUGUCUGUCUUGUCAGUCUAAAAUUAGAUAGUAAAUUGAUUUCUGACACUCCUCAUGACCUGUGUUCUUAACAAGGCUGUUAAACCCCAUGGGUAGCUUGCCCUCAGAUUAUCCACAUCACAACUAGGUCCCAAAGCUUGAGCUGGGGAUACUUGUUGGAGGGUAAACUUUUGGACUUGUCAGUGGGCAGCCUGUCCAAACAGUAUGGGAUGGUAGGGUUGCACAAAGCUAUGUCACAUUGUGGGGAAACUCCUUAUUAAUAGGCACCAGAGGUCUGCUCAAGCCCAUAUACAAGACGACACUAGCUGGGAGGUGGGCAGUAGGCAGUCAGGUAGUAGGUAUCCAGGCAGUAGGUAUGGACCCAUCUGUCCCUUGCUUUGCAGGCAGCGUAUAACCCGUGGGGAUGCACAGCCAAGGCAGGUAUUAAACAUCACUGUAGAAACUGAAUAGGGUUCUGCAGGUUGAGAAGAGAUCAUGCUGGCCACAAAUAAUUCCUCCCUCCAUCUCUUCCAGAAAUGCUUUCCCUCCAGUGGUGGAGCAGGCUAACACCGCCUGGGGAGUCCCUGUUCUUUGUGGUCUGGGAAGGAGGAAGUGAGCUGUGCUGUCCACAUGCUAUAGCCCUCAUAAAGCUCAAAAACAGCACCAGUGCUCCAUGCUUUUAGCUGUAACUGUUGAUGAUGCUGUCCCCAGUUUCAUUUGCCAUGCUUAUGGUUUUGAGAAGCAACAGUGAGUCAUUAAGUCCCUGGAAGUUGGAGAUUCUACAGGGGAGAACAGAGAUGGUGAUGAUGAUAAUAAUAAUAAUAGUAAUAAUAAUAAUAAUGUAGCUUCCACAAAGCUGUUUGUGAAAGCAGUUCAACACUUUGCCCUUGAGCUACUCCUGCAAACAAAAUUUCCAGCAUGUAUUCUUCCCUUUUGAACUUCUAAUGGAGUGUUGAGCCAGCGAGACAGAUGGGAAGUUCGAGUUUCUCCCUGCACAAUGGCAGCAGUGUCUGUGCUGUCAAAAUUAACUCUGAAUUUUUUCCUGUUUGUGCUGGAAAAAAGAUCUUUCUAACCUUUGAAAAAUAUACGGUGUGCUCAGAGGUCUUAUGUUCCUCCUCUGGUCUAGUUCAAACAAAGCUGAUUCAAAAAUUCAAUUUUAAUGUCAUUCAGAUAGCCAGUGAUAUUCAAAUAUUGGCAUCAUGAAAGUAUGUUUUAACUACACAAUCUCAAGGUGUGUGGAAGGAUAAGCACAGUGGGUCACUGCUUAGCUAAUGAGUGGCUGGGCAUUGUAUAAAAACCUGAAAAGAAGCAUCAGCCUCACUCUAUAGAUAUUUCCAGAUGAGAUUGACACAAUAUUUGCUGAUACUGGCACUUUUCCAGGUAGUGCCUGCUCUGGGUUGCACUUACCUAAGGAAUUUCACCAAGCUCUGUGGGAUUUUACAACUGAAAGGAAGGACAGUGUCCAGUCCGUUUUCUUACACCCUUAAUUGAUGUUGAAUAGAGGAUUUUGUGAUUCAUUUAUCAGCCAAUGCAUAAACUGCAUCAAAACAUCAAAUAUGUGAAUUGGCACUUUUUGACCUGAGCUGUUGGACGAAGAAGGUCUGUACAGGUUUGUAAUAUCCAUUUUAACCUCUCUGCCUUUGAUGGUAAUAGCACAUGUUCAGCGUAAGCCCAGUUUUUUAAAUAUAAGUGAUUCCCUUGAGGAUCUGUUCUAAAAACCUCCGAUUUCUCAGUGAUGGAAAGCAAUGUUUUUCUCUUUAAGGGAAGGAGGGAGGCAGGUAAGGAGGAGUGUGUACUGUGCUUCUUGGAUAUGGAAGACACAUGUAAAUGCAAGAUGCCAUUCAUCAUUAUUUGAUAUAUAGCAAAAUACAGUAAUUUCAUUUAGCAGCAGGUUUUAAGAAGAUUAAACAUGCUAGGAAAAUUGUUUUAAAAUAACAAUGUAGCAGGAUAUUGUAAAUUAUUUUGCAGUGGGCUGUCAUGCCAUGUCACCAUAAUUCUUCAAAAUUUAAUUAAAACCCACAACAACUUAAUAUUCAAGCCCUGUCAAGAAAACUAAUUGUACACAGGGACCAGCUGCUGGAGAAGUUUAGAUGUCAACUUCAAAUGGUAAUGUGAGUGGUUCACACUGUCUUGUGGGUACCCAUUUAAAACUCUUGCUCACCAUGGACUUAUGGAGAAUGCAGGUUUUGUUUAUAAUAAAGUCUUGGCAUUUUAGCCAGAAAAGAUUCAUCUUUAAUGACAAGAUAUACUAAUCCUAUUUAACUAGAGAUUGUUUUUUUUUAAAGGAAUUCUCAGUUUAAUGCUCCGUGAUAGAAAAAAAGGGAAAGAUGAUACCCGCCAGGGUCCAUGAUUUUAGACACCUCUGCUUCUGAAUACUCAACAGACCCCCCCUUUCCUGCCUGCCUCUUUUAAGACUCUCCUAUGGCUUAAUCCUACGAGUACCAGAACUGCUUGCAGACACAAAGAGCAUCAAGAUAUCUCAUGACACGCAGCAAGGAAAUGCCUUUCCUGACUGGGAACAUGACCUGAACAAUGGCAGGAGUGCUGGUCCUGGGACUUGCUUCCAGCAUCUCUGAAACAGUGAAGGAUCUCAGGCUGGCCUCUUGAGAUUGUUUUUCCAGUGCUGGUGCAAUUUUACAGAGUACCUACAGAGAGAAGAGUGGCCUCACUCUCUCCCCAUUUCCACUAUUCAGUCUCCUCCUCAGAAGAUUUACUUGUGAUUUACCCUUGUAGAAGUGAGAAGAGAUUCAAGCUGCGCUCAUGCAAUUAUAGCAAACAGAGGAGAGAAGCCGGUAGAAAUAAGUCAGAGGAUUUUGGGACUGGGGCUAUUUCUGUGCAGCUGUGCUCCCUGCUCAGUUGUGUAAACUGCUCCAGAGUGAGACAAAGCGGAUGUAGUUGCUCUGGAGUCAGACCAAUUUAAGCCAGGACUGCUUUUCAACUCAUAACAACAACCCCGCCUUGUACAGUAUUUAAAUACAAGCUUUACUCCCGACAAAUUCAUUGCCACUUCCUUAAAUGUUUUUCUGAAGCAGGUCCUUGGUUUGAUACCAUUUUAUACAUGAUGUCAAAGUUAAUAAGCAUCAGGCCCAUGACACAACCGUGUGAGAAUUACCCAUUUGUAGAGAUCUAGAAAUGUAAUUUAUAAUUCAAGUCUUUCAAGCAAAAUAUAAUUGUCCAGUUUUAUACUGCUGCUUGGGAGAAAACAAAAGUGGAUUAUGUGUUUGUGUCCUUCGUGCUUUUUGGCUUUAUGUCUUUUUUCUUUAUAAAUUGCUCCAGGAUUUCAGGGGAUAGAAAUCCUCCUGGUGCUGUAGAAUGCUUCCUACAAAGAAAAGCCUUGCACCCUGCUGUAGCUGUGGGCUUUUGUGGAAGUGGUGUGCUACCUUCAGGCUCCAUCUAUGGUCCUGCUCACCCUGAGUGCCUAUCAAAUACAUGUUAACUUCAUACCCUGGGAGAGGGAUUGAUGACGGAUGAUCUCUGGCCAGAGAGAUCUCUGCUUUCUGGUCACUUGAGUUGCCUUGCCAGUGAGGCUGCAUUUCUGUUGACUCAGUUAAUGAGGAUCAGCAUUACGAAACGCAUGGCAGGGAUUCAGUAUACAUUACCAGUUAAUAGAGAUAAUUGAGUGGAAGGAAAACUAGUUUCUGAUGUCACAAAAUGUCUCCUGU